AGGACGAACGCUGGCGGCGUGCUUAACACAUGCAAGUCGAACGGAAGGGCCCUUUCGGGGGUACUCGAGUGGCGAACGGGUGAGUAACACGUGGGUGAUCUGCCCUGCACUUUGGGAUAAGCCUGGGAAACUGGGUCUAAUACCGAAUACACCUUGCUGGCUGCAUGGCCUGGUGGGGAAAGCUUUUGCGGUGUGGGAUGGGCCCGCGGCCUAUCAGCUUGUUGGUGGGGUGAUGGCCUACCAAGGCGACGGAC
rnacentral:rRNA from 1 species